UUCAGCUUGCAAGUCUAUCUGCAGUAGACGCUGAGAGAGGAGCUUGCUCUUCUUGGAUGAGUUGCGAACGGGUGAGUAACGCGUAGGUAACCUGCCUUGUAGCGGGGGAUAACUAUUGGAAACGAUAGCUAAUACCGCAUAACAAUGGAUGACACAUGUCAUUUAUUUGAAAGGGGCAAUUGCUCCACUACAAGAUGGACCUGCGUUGUAUUAGCUAGUAGGUGAGGUAAUGGCUCACCUAGGCGACGAUACAUAGCCGACCUGAGAGGGUGAUCGGCCACACUGGGACUGAGACACGGCCCAGACUCCUACGGGAGGCAGCAGUAGGGAAUCUUCGGCAAUGGGGGCAACCCUGACCGAGCAACGCCGCGUGAGUGAAGAAGGUUUUCGGAUCGUAAAGCUCUGUUGUAAGUCAAGAACGGGUGUGAGAGUGGAAAGUUCACACUGUGACGGUAGCUUACCAGAAAGGGACGGCUAACUACGUGCCAGCAGCCGCGGUAAUACGUAGGUCCCGAGCGUUGUCCGGAUUUAUUGGGCGUAAAGCGAGCGCAGGCGGUUUGAUAAGUCUGAAGUUAAAGGCUGUGGCUCAACCAUAGUUCGCUUUGGAAACUGUCAAACUUGAGUGCAGAAGGGGAGAGUGGAAUUCCAUGUGUAGCGGUGAAAUGCGUAGAUAUAUGGAGGAACACCGGUGGCGAAAGCGGCUCUCUGGUCUGUAACUGACGCUGAGGCUCGAAAGCGUGGGGAGCGAACAGGAUUAGAUACCCUGGUAGUCCACGCCGUAAACGAUGAGUGCUAGGUGUUGGAUCCUUUCCGGGAUUCAGUGCCGCAGCUAACGCAUUAAGCACUCCGCCUGGGGAGUACGACCGCAAGGUUGAAACUCAAAGGAAUUGACGGGGGCCCGCACAAGCGGUGGAGCAUGUGGUUUAAUUCGAAGCAACGCGAAGAAACCUUACCAGGUCUUGACAUCCCGAUGCUAUUUCUAGAGAUAGAAAGUUACUUCGGGUACAUCGGGUGACAGGUGGUGCAUGGUUUGUCGUCAGCUCGUGUCGUGAGAUGUUGGGUUAAAGUCCCGCAAACGAGCGCAACCCCCUAUGUUAGUUGCCAUCAUUCCAGUGGGCACUCUAGCGAGACUGCCGGUAUAAUCGAAGGAGGUGGGGGAAUGAACGACCCAAAUUCAAUGAUUUGGCUAU
rnacentral:rRNA from 1 species